rnacentral:misc_RNA from 1 species
GAUGAAGAACGCAGCGAAAUGCGAUACGUAAUGUGAAUUGCAGAAUUCAGUGAAUCAUCGAGUCUUUGAACGCACAUUGCGCCCCCUGGUAUUCCGGGGGGCAUGCCUGUCCGAGCGUCAUUGCUGCCCUCAAGCACGGCUUGUGUGUUGGGCCUCCGUCCUCCUCCCGGGGGACGGGCCCGAAAGGCAGCGGCGGCACCGUGUCCGGUCCUCGAGCGUAUGGGGCUUCGUCACCCGCUCUUGUAGGCCCGGCCGGCGCUUGCCGACACAUCAAUCUUUUUUCCAGGUUGACCUCGGAUCAGGUAGGGAUACCCGCUGAACUUAAGCAUAUCAAUAAGCGGAGGA